AUUGAACGCUGGCGGCAUGCCUUACACAUGCAAGUCGAACGGCAGCACGGGAGUAAUCCUGGUGGCGAGUGGCGAACGGGUGAGUAAUAUAUCGGAACGUGCCCAGUCGUGGGGGAUAACGUAGCGAAAGCUACGCUAAUACCGCAUACGAUCUACGGAUGAAAGCGGGGGACUCGCAAGAGCCUCGCGCGAUUGGAGCGGCCGAUAUCAGAUUAGGUUGUUGGUGAGGUAAAAGCUCACCAAGCCUGCGAUCUGUAGCUGGUCUGAGAGGACGACCAGCCACACUGGAACUGAGACACGGUCCAGACUCCUACGGGAGGCAGCAGUGGGGAAUUUUGGACAAUGGACGCAAGUCUGAUCCAGCAAUGCCGCGUGCAGGACGAAGGCCUUCGGGUUGUAAACUGCUUUUGUACGGAACGAAACGGUCUACUUUAAUACAGUGGGCUAAUGACGGUACCGUAAGAAUAAGCACCGGCUAACUACGUGCCAGCAGCCGCGGUAAUACGUAGGGUGCGAGCGUUAAUCGGAAUUACUGGGCGUAAAGCGUGCGCAGGCGGUUAUAUAAGACAGAUGUGAAAUCCCCGGGCUCAACCUGGGACCUGCAUUUGUGACUGUAUAGCUAGAGUACGGUAGAGGGGGAUGGAAUUCCGCGUGUAGCAGUGAAAUGCGUAGAUAUGCGGAGGAACACCGAUGGCGAAGGCAAUCCCCUGGACCUGUACUGACGCUCAUGCACGAAAGCGUGGGGAGCAAACAGGAUUAGAUACCCUGGUAGUCCACGCCCUAAACGAUGUCAACUGGUUGUUGGGUCUUCACUGACUCAGUAACGAAGCUAACGCGUGAAGUUGACCGCCUGGGGAGUACGGCCGCGAGGUUG
rnacentral:rRNA from 1 species